GAUGAACGCUAGCGGCAGGCUUAACACAUGCAAGUCGAGGGGCAGCACGGGUAGCAAUACCUGGUGGCGACCGGCGCAAGGGUGCGUAACGCGUGAGCAACAUGCCCUAUACAGGGGGAUAAUCCAGGGAAACUUGGUCUAAUAUCCCAUAGUAUUUAGAGGAGGCAUCUUCUAUAAAUUAAAGCUUCGGUGGUAUAGGAUUGGCUCGCGUGACAUUGGCUAGAUGGUGAGGUAACGGCUCACCAUGGCAAUGAUGUCUAGGGGUUCUGAGGGGAAGGCCCCCCACACUGGGACGUGAGACACGGCCCAGACUCCUACGGGAGGCAGCAGUGAGGAAUAUUGGACAAUGGAUGGAAAUCUGAUCCAGCCAUGUCCGCGUGCAGGAAGACAGCCCUAUGGGUUGUAAACUGCUUUUAUAUGGGAGCAAUAAGGUCUACGUGUAGACUGAUGAGAGUACCAUAUGAAUAAGC
rnacentral:rRNA from 1 species